AGUAGCUCAACGGUAGAGCGUAUGGCUGUUAACCAUUAGGUUG
rnacentral:tRNA from 1 species